rnacentral:rRNA from 1 species
UGGGUGACCUGCCCUACAGCUCUGGGACAAGACCUGGGAAACUGGGUCUAAUACCGAAUAUGACUACACGCUUCCUGGUGUGUGGUGGAAAGCUUUUGCGGUGUGGGAUGGGCCCGCGGCCUAUCAGCUUGUUGGUGGGGUAAUGGCCCACCAAGGUGACGACGGGUAGCCGGCCUGAGAGGGUGACCGGCCACACUGGGACUGAGAUACGGCCAGACUCCUACGGGAGGCA